rnacentral:misc_RNA from 1 species
UACAGAGGCCUCAAGCGUUAUCCGGAAUCAUUGGGCGUAAAGGGUGUGUAGGCGGCUUUGUUAGUCUUUCGUCAAAAUCCCAAGCCUAACUUGGGAAUCGCGAAGGAAACGGCAGAGCUAGAGGGUGCGAGAGGUAUAUGGAACUCAUGGUGUAGGGGUGAAAUCCGUUGAUAUCAUGGGGAACACCAAAAGCGAAGGCAAUAUACUGGCGCACUCCUGACGCUGAGACACGAAAGCCAGGGUAGCGAAUGGG